rnacentral:misc_RNA from 1 species
CGGGAUUAAGGAACUGUGUUUUUCUCGCUUGUUGCUGUUAUUAAACAAAAUUGAUUUUUCAACGAAUUUGAUUUACUAUACAAUAAUAUAAUUACAACAUUGCUACCAAAUUGUCAUACUGUUACAGGGAUCUAUACCUUGUGAUAGUAACAACGGCGGGACAAUACCCAGUAAAUACAGUUUUAUUUACACUUCUAAGCUUGUGACAUCCUUACCAGGCUUAUAAAUAUUUGAAAAUUGCAUUUGGAAUGACCAGGUACUCCAUGAGUAGCAGCCAAGCAGUUAAUCAAAUUGCUGUGGCAAGGCAAGAUGUUCAACUUCGUACUCAGUAGAAGGGAGUCCAGAGAUUUUGCAAACAAGAAACUAGCAAAGGCUUGUCAAAAUGGCUACAAGGAAUGGUCCCCAACUGAAGCUGAUGACGACCGAUUUAAGUGUAGGGCCUUCUUGGACGCCCGAACAUUCUUAAGAGUCAUCAUGAGUUUCUGUCUCUCCCCUUCAACCUCCGCAAAUUGAAGGCUUAGCUGAGAGUAGCGGUCAUGCAUCUCUUUUAGUUCACUCUCCACAGCCGUAUACCUUCCCUUCAGUUCCAGCAUGUCUUUAAUCAGCUCAUUUAUAUCUCUAAAGCUUUUGAAUACUGCUUCCUCAUCACUGUGUUGUUUCAAGAAAGAACUCUGAAAAUGGAUGCUUGAUUGCUUCUUUGCCUGCAGAGCUUCUGCAAGCUCAAUUUCUAAAGCAAGAACCCUUUCUAAUGCAUUGCCUCUCCCUGGAAAUUCAUUAAACAAGGGGAACAUGCUUCCUAGUUCUUCAUUGGCCUUUUCUAACUGCAUAAAUUCUCUUUGUAAAGUAGGAAAUUUCUGGUGAAAACCAUGAUUAUCUUGCAGAAGUGAAUUCUCGUUUUUCAUCCUCUUCAACUCAUUACUCAAGUGGUCCAUGCUAGACUUUAAACUUUUGGCUCUGAAAUGUUCAUUGAUAAGAGCUAAAUGCUUCAUGUCACUGUGCAGCAACUUCUCUUGAUUUAGGAGUAUGGGGCUUUGAAUUCCAUUCACACCACUAGAUACAAGAACGUCCUGAUCAAGUUGCAUAUUCACGAGUGUGUUUGUUUGGCCAACUGUGUUAAUGGGAGCUGGGCAUGUAUUUUCAGCUUCACCACAAUUCUUGGAACUAUCUUGUUCCAAGCACUUGAGAGCUGAGUCUCUAGUUGGACCGCUUGUAGGAGCUGCAUCUACACUCUUUCUUCCAAAGCUUGAAGCAUCAGCAAUGGGAUCUUCCUGGUAAACAUUUCUGAAAACUGACUCAUCAGAAGACAUGCAAUCCCCCUUGCAGGAUCCAUCAUUUCCUCCCUCCUGAAUAUUCACAGCCAAUUUUGAAUUCUCUAGCAAUUCUUUCAUCUGAGCAAGUUCAACCGCAAGUUUAGACUUUUCCUUGUUGCAUUCUUGCAAACACACCUCAAGCUUUUGCUUUUCUUCUUUGCAGCACUCUAGGCUUAUUAAUGAACAUUCCAUCUCAGCUUUCAUCAGAUCAUAAGCGUUCAUUCUUUCACACUUGUCAGAAAACACUGAUUGUAAUUCAGACUCCAAUUUCAAGAUCUCCAUUCCCAGUUCUUCAUUUUUCUUCAGAUGACAAGCUUCAGAUUUCUUCCUGUUUUCAAUUUCAUCAAUGGCAUCUUGCAAUUUCCACAACAUUUCUUCACUAUGCUUUUUUGAGAUGGAAAGUUGUAGUUUCAGUUCCUGCAGCCUGGUUUCAUACUGCUCUUUGAUAAAUGCUAUUCUUAAGGACUCUUGCAUGGCAACUGGUGGUACUUCAGGUUCUCUUUUUUCACGAGCCUGGAUACACUCAGCGUCAGCCUUGUCCUUAAGCUCCUUCAAAUGGACAGACAAGUUUCUGAACUCUUCUGUCUUCAAAAUCUGUUCCGCAAGCCUCUGGGCGAGCUCAUUACACUGUUUCUUUAGCAUCAUUAGUUCAUCACCAUAUCCUUCCAUUGCAAUUAUAUGAGCUUGCUGUUCAUCCAGCUUGGCUUUGAGUACUAGAACUUGGACUUCCAUUUCUUCCUUGGAGAACAUCAGAUUGUCAGUCUCCUCUUCAAAACUCAACAUCGUGUGCUUGAGCCUUUCAACAUCUUGGCAUUGCUGACUUUUACCCUCAAAAUCUCUAAGGACAACAUUAUGAGCCCAAUGCUUGUAUUCCUCAAGCUCAGCUGUCGUAACUCUGUUUGCCUCAAGAAGUAAACUAUUUUCAGCAAUAGAUGCCUCAAUCUCAGAUCUAAUGGAGUUGAGACUUGUCAACAAAUUUGCAUUCUCUUCAAUGUAUUGGGCUUCGUUGGCAAGACAGUGAGUUAGGGUUGUUUCUAGAUCAAUAUGCUUCUUCAGAAGUUCUGUAACCUGCCUAUCUGAGGAGCAAAGUUGCAAAACCAGCUCUUCAACCCUGUCUUCAUACUGAGUUCUUGUGAAAAUUAGUUUGACAUCUGCAGCUAUUAAUAGUUCAUGAACUUCACAUAUCUCAGUUUCAAGACCAGAAAGAGAACAACAUUCUUCACGAAUGCUUUUAAGGCUGUCAUCAUAGUGAGACAAAAGAUUGCAAACUCUCAAUUUCUCCAAUUCUAGAUCUGACACCAAUUUCUUGAGAUGGAGCAACUGAAAUUCCUUCUCAUUUAAUUGGGAAGUUUGAUUCGUGAUUUUAAUCUCUAAACUCUCUCUCACCCUUCUUUCUUCUUGCAACUGAUCAUACAGAGAUCGCAAACUCUCUCCCAGUCUGUUUAGCUCAGAUGCAAGCUGAACACACUCAUUAGUUUUAUCCUGCGAAGACACAACCAGAGCUUGGUUUUCAUUGUGCACAGAUUGAAGACAUUCUUUCAAACUGUUUAACUCCAAUUUAAGCUUGGAAGAUUCCUCAGAUUUUUCCCUUGAGCACACCAUCAAAACUUGGUUUUCAUCAUGCAGAGUCUGCAAAUUCUCUUUCAAACUGUUCAGCUCUGAUGUAAGCUUGGCAGUUUCCUUGGUUUUUUCUUGUGAGGAAGCCAUCAAAGAUUGUUUUUCAUCAUCCAGAGAUUGCAAAGUUUCUUUCAAGUGGUUUAGCUCCAAUGCAAGAUUAGCAGAUUCCUUAAUUUUAUUUUGUAAAGAUGCAAUCAAAGUUUGUUUCUCAUCAUGCAGCGACUGCAAACUUUCUUUCAAACUACUAAGCUCCGAUACAAGUUUGGAAGAUUCAUCGGUUUUAUCCUGUGUAGAUGCCACCAAAGCUUGAUUUUCAUCAUGUAGCGACUGCAAGCUUUCUUUCAAACUGUUAAGCUCUGAUGCAAGCUUGGAAGUUUCCUCAGUUUUAUCCUGUAAAGUAGCCAUCAGAGCUUGUUUUUCAUCAUCCAGAGAUUUCAAAGCUUCUUUAAAA